GUUUAUGGCGGCUGUGCGUGGGAGACCGAAAGGUCUGCCGGGUUCCUUUGUCCCCGGUCCGCUAACCUGCGUACAGCUGCCACCCUC
rnacentral:antisense_RNA from 1 species